UCCCUGGUGGCUCAGAGGUUAAAGCAUCUGCCUGCAAUGCAGGAGACCUGGGUUUGAUCCCUGGCCCACGAA
rnacentral:tRNA from 1 species